rnacentral:rRNA from 1 species
UACAGAGGUCCCAAGCGUUGUUCGGAUUCAUUGGGCGUAAAGCGCGCGUAGGCGGCUCGAUCAGUCUGCUGUAAAAGUCAAAGGCUCAACCUUUGAAUGCCGGUGGAUACUGUCGGGCUAGAGUCCGGAAGAGGCGAGUGGAAUUCCUGGUGUAGCGGUGGAAUGCGCAGAUAUCAGGAGGAACACCAACGGCGAAGGCAGCUCGCUGGGACGGUACUGACGCUAAGGCGCGAAAGCGUGGGGAGCGAACGGG